GACGAACGCUGGCGGCGUGCCUAAUACAUGCAAGUCGAGCGAAUUUACGAGAGCUUGCUCUCGUAAAUUAGCGGCGGAAGGGUGAGUAACACGUGGGCAACCUGCCUAUAAGACUGGGAUAACUUCGGGAAACCGGAGCUAGUACCGGAUAAUUCACAUCUACUCAUGUAGAUGUGCUGAAAGACGGUUUCGGCUGUCACUUAUAGAUGGGCCCGCGGCGCAUUAGCUAGUUGGUGAGGUAACGGCGCACCAAGGCCACGAUGCGUAGCCGACCUGGGAGGGUGAGCGGCCACACUGGAACUGAGACACGGCACAGACUCCUGCGGGAGGCAGCAGUAGGGAAUCUUCCGCAAUGGACGAGAGUCUGACGGAGCAACGCCGCGUGAGUGAUGAAGGUUUUCGGAUCGUAAAACUCUGUUGUUAGGGAAGAACAAGUACCAGAGUAACUGCUGGUACCUUGACGGUACCUAACCAGAAAGCCACGGCUAACUACGUGCCAGCAGCCGCGGUAA
rnacentral:rRNA from 1 species